rnacentral:rRNA from 1 species
CUGGGUGUAAAGGGCGCGCAGGCGGGAUAGCAAGUCAGAGGUGAAAUCCUACAGCUUAACUGUAGAACUGCCUUUGAUACUGUUAUUCUUGAGUUCGGGAGAGAGAGACGGAAUUCCAGGUGUAGUGGUGAAAUACGUAGAUAUCUGGAAGAACACCAGUUGCGAAGGCGGUCUCUUGGUCCGAUACUGACGCUGAGGCGCGAAAGCGUGGGGAGCAAACAGGAUUAGAUACCCUGGUAGUCCACGCUGUAAACGAUGAAUACUAGGUGUUGGGUUUUUAACUCAGUGCCGCAGCUAACGCAUUAAGUAUUCCACCUGGGAAGUACGAUCGCAAGGUUGAAACUCAAAGGAAUUGACGGGGGCCCGCACAAGCAGUGGAGCAUGUGGUUUAAUUCGAUGCAACGCGAAGAACCUUACCUAGGCUUGAAAUGCAGUAGACCGGGUAUGAAAGUACCCCUCCCUUCGGGGCUGCUGUACAGGUGCUGCAUGGCUGUCGUCAGCUCGUGCCGUGAGGUGUUGGGUUAAGUCUCGCAACGAGCGCAACCCCUACUAUUAGUUGCCAUCAGGUUAUGCUGGGCACUCUAAUGGGACUGCCUACGCAAGUAGUGAGGAAGGUGGGGAUGACGUCAAGUCAGCAUGGCCCUUACGCCUAGGGCUACACACGUGCUACAAUGGAUACUACAACGGGUUGCUAAGCCGCAAGGUGGAGCCAAUCCCUUAAAGGUAUCCUCAGUUCGGAUUGGAGUCUGCAACUCGACUCCAUGAAGUUGGAAUUGCUAGUAAUCGCGUAUCAGCGCGACGCGGUGAAUACGUUCCCGGGCCUUGUACACACCGCCCGUCAAGCCAUGGAAGCCGGGGGUACCCGAAGUCGGUGACCUAACCGUAAGGAAGGAGCUGCCUAAGGUAAAACUGGUGACUGGGGCUAAGUCGUAACAAGGUAGCCG